UAAGCCCUAGCGCGAGCCCGAGACACAAACAGAGAGUGCAACACCACCAUUAAUCUCCAACUGUCAGCGCUCUCAAUUUCAAGCUCGGACUUCAAACGCAUAUUCAGCUCUUCUUUGUCUACGUCUGCAAUUCAACUGGUUCUUCUUGCCCGUCGUUCUCGUUCUUAUUCUUCUUCUUGUUUCUACUCGUAGCUCACUGGAGAUAUCAGAAGCAUUAAGGUCUAUCUGUGAGGUUGUUUUUUGCUGCGUUGUUUGAUUAGAAGAAAGGUUUAAUGGAUUUCGACGAGUAUGAGUAUUUAGAGAAAACGGUUGAAAAUCCGGAACCCCAGAAAGCAAAGGAAACUGCAAAUGGUGGUGAGGAAACUCUGAAAUCUGGAGAGAAAGGUCGCAGUCGAAGUUCAAAACAUAAGAGUGAUGAGAAAGGUCAUGAUGAGGAACGUCACUCAAAGCGUUCAAAAUCUGGAGAUGACUCACGUGAACAUGAUCAUGAUCGGCACAGAGAGAGGGGAUCUUCUCGUCAUCGCUCACGGUCAAGAGAAGUAGAAAAGGAUCGCCACAGGAGUAGCCGGGAACACAGAGGUAGGGAGGAGAGGGAAAGGGAGGAAAGAAAUGGAAGGGAGAGAGACAGGGACAGAGACAAAGAGCGGGAUCCCGAUCGAGCUAGAGACAGGAGAGAACGUGACCGUGAGGGUGACAAGGAGGACAAGGACCGGGAGAAGGAGAAAGAGCGAUCACGCCGAAGUAGGAGUCAUUCAGAAAGGCAUCGAAGUGAUCGGGAUGAAAGAGAGAGGAGCCGGGAUGUGGAGCAUAAAGAAAGAGAUAAGGAGAAGGAUUUAAGGGAGCGGGAAAAAGAAAGCAGAAGACAUAAAGACAAGAAGGAAGAAGUGACAGAACCAGAGGCUGAUCCUGAAAGAGAUCAGAGGACGGUAUUUGCUUAUCAGAUUUGUCUGAAGGCAGAUGAAAGAGAUGUAUACGAGUUCUUCUCAAGGGCUGGCAAGGUCCGCGAUGUACGCCUCAUUAUGGAUCGCAAUUCAAGACGUUCUAAGGGAGUUGGGUAUAUUGAGUUUUAUGAUGCAAUGUCGGUAUGGCGAUUGCACUUUCUGGUCAGCCUCUUCUUGGUCAACCAGUGAUGGUGAAGCCAUCAGAGGCUGAGAAGAAUCUGGUUCAAUCAACAUCUGUGGUUAGCGGACCAGGUGGGAUGAUAGGCCCAUAUUCUGGCGGAGCUAGAAGGCUGUUGAGUACUUUUCUGACACAGUUCUAAUGUUGGCAUCAGAUACGAUCUCCGCCAGGUUUUUGGAGCAUUUGGUCCUGUAGAACUGGUUCAGUUACCUGUUGACGAAACUAACAACUGCAAAGGUUUUGGAUUUGUGCAGUUCUCACGUCUUGAAGAUGCUAGAAAUGCACUGAGUUUGAAUGGACAAUUGGAGAUUGCAGGUCGACUUAUUAAGGUGUCAGCUGUUACAGACCAAGCUGGAAUGCAAGAUCUUGGAGCAAAUGCCGGUGAUUUUGAUGACGAUGAAGGUGGUGGCUUGUCAUUGAAUGCACGCUCUCGGGCAAUUCUCAUGCAGAAAUUGGAUCGCAGUGGCUCUGGAUCAGGUAUUGCUGGUCCCCUAGGCACUCCUGCUGUCAAUAGCCCUGGUGUUUCUCUACCAAUGGCACUACCAACGGCACCACUCCUGGGAGCUGCACCAGUGGUUUCUCCUCUUGUUCCACCCAUCACCGCUGUUCCUGGUAUUGCUGGACUUGGUGUUGCUGGUCUUCAAAUUCCUACUGCUACUCUUCCUUCUAUAGAUACAAUUGGUGUUCCAAGCGAAUGUUUACUGUUGAAAAAUAUGUUUGAUCCGGCAGUUGAGACGGAACCAAACUUUGACUUGGACAUUAAAGAAGAUGUUCAGGAGGAGUGUUCAAAAUACGGGAAUUUGAGGCAUAUCUUUGUAGACAAGAAUACCGCUGGUCAUGUGUACUUACGAUUCGAGAACACACAAGCUGCGAUAAAUGCUCGGCAUGUUCUCCAUGGAAGAUGGUUUGCCGGAAAGAUGAUUGAGGCAACGUUCAUGUUGCCCCAGAACUAUGAGGCUAAAUUCCCGGAAAGCAGAUAGGAUUAUUAUAUGCAGUAUUGGAAAUGUAGAAAACGUAGCUGGUAAUGCCUGUUGGUGGUUAGCCUUUUGGGUCCAAUUUUCAUGUGAGAGAGUAUUUAAUGAAUUAUCCUCAGGGCUUUUUGUGUGAGAAGAAAGAAUGUCACGCUCAGUUCAGCAUUUGGAAUUUGUUGAUGGGUCAAAAGUUAGAUGUACAUCAACUUGAAAUUUUUACCGCCAGGGUGCCAUGUGAAUUUACAGUUACAGAUAUGGGUUUGUAGACUUAUUGAUGUUCUCAUUUGUCAACAACUUUCAAUGUUAUAAUAUUUGUCUGCACUAAACUGCCUCAUAGAAGGAUUUCAUAUAUUUGCAAGAUUCAUCUCGCCUGAACUACAAA